rnacentral:misc_RNA from 1 species
UCAAUUUCAGAAUUAAAGUUUUUGUUGAGGUUGAACUUCAAGGAUUUAAGGACAAAUUACUUCUUAAAACUAAUACAUAUUUGUAAUAAAUAUUUUAAAGCAGUGACUAAAAGAUGGUUUUAAACUAUUAUAAAAAGUCUUUGAUUAAGAAUUUGUGUAAAAUAUAAUAAUAACCUACUAUCAAGACACUCUUCUGAAAAGCUAAAAUGGCAUCUGAAGAUGAAGUGAAAAAGUGUAAAAUAAUAAUCGUUGGAGCUGGAAUGUCUGGGCUAUCGGCUGCAACUCAUUUGGUGAAGAAUAAUAUGACAGACUUUAUUGUUUUAGAAGCUAGAAAAAGGAUUGGAGGGAGAAUUAUUUCAAUUGAAGUUGAGUCGCACCGAGUGGAGCUUGGGGCAAACUGGAUUCAUGGAGUUCUGGGGAAUCCCAUGUAUGAGAUGGCCAUGUCGCAUGGUCUCAUAGAUAUUGUAAAUAUACCAAAGCCUCAUAAAGUAGUCGCCGCCACCGAAGAUGGAAAGCAGGUCCCAUUCCAAUUGUUACAAGAAAUCUAUGAAGCCUAUUCAUGUUUUCUACACCGAUGUGAGGAGUACUUUCUAUGUCAGUAUGAACCCCCAGCCGGGAUCACUAGCGUUGGAGAGCAUAUAGCAUUAGAGAUGGAAAUGUACCUAGAGGGCAUGGAAGGUGAGGCGAGACGUAUUCGACGACUGAUCUUCGACUGCCUUCUGAAACGCGAGACGUGCAUCAGCGGCUGCACCUCUAUGGCCGACAUCGAUCUACUAGAGCUGGGCAGUUACACAGAGCUACAAGGUGGCAACAUCGCACUGCCGGCUGGCUACAGCUCCAUACUGGAACCGGUUUCCCGCCACCUGCCCGUCGACAGUCUGCUACUAGAUCAUGGAGUGGCCACCAUCGACUGGACCUCUUCCACAGAGACCACUCUAUCGGACAAAGUGACCACUCUAUCGGACAAAGUGACCACUCUAUCUGACAACGACUCUGACGACUCGGAUCGCACAGUGAUCGGUGAGAGUGAGACGCAAAGUGUCGGAGUGAGAGUGACCUGUGAGAACGGAGCAACUUUUGUGGCCGAUCACGUGAUAUGUACGAUUCCGCUCGGAGUGUUGAAAGACAGGGCUGACAAACUUUUCAAGCCGCCUCUGCCUGAAUAUAAGACCGAGUCUAUCGAACGACUGCUGUUUGGCACGGUCGAUAAGAUAUUUCUGGCCUAUGAACGGCCGUUUCUCAACCCCGACAUUUCUGAGAUAAUGCUGUUGUGGGACGUGGAAGAGGACGUUGAUAAAGACGACCUGUCGCAAACGUGGUACAAGAAGAUCUACUCGUUUUCGAAGGUGAGCGAAACGCUGCUGCUCGGCUGGGUGUCAGGUCGCGAGGCCGAGUACAUGGAAUCAUUGCCGCAGCAGCAAGUGGCUGAUACGUGCACUUGCAUUCUGCGCAAGUUCCUCAACGACCCGUUCGUGCCCAAGCCGAAGCUUUGUGUCAGAACAAAAUGGUUCGGCGAGCCGAACACUCGAGGCUCGUACACAGCAAUGGCGGUUGGCGCCAGUCAGGCAGACAUCGAGAGGAUAGCCAGGCCUCUCUACGCACACACUCGUUCGCGCAAUCACCACGCCAAGCCGUUGGUGGUGUUUGCCGGCGAACACACGCACACAAACUUCUACUCGACGGUGCACGGUGCGUUUCUGACGGGACGCAGUGCGGCGCAAACGCUGCUGAGUGCCGCAGUCGCACACGAAUCGCAGACGCAGGCGUCUGUGGAUGAAGACGAACCUACGCCGAACGUUGUAGAAUGCGACGCCGCCGAUACCACCGACCUCAGCUCCUGGAUUAGAGGCAUUGCGCUGGACUGACCCGAACAGCAGCACUCUAGUGUCUAGUCUCGUCUACGGUAGUUGCUCGACUGAACAGCACAGCGGCACUCUAAUAUCUAGUCUCGUCUACGGUGAUUGCUUGUUGGUUAAGCCUUAGACCAGUUAUAGAAUAGACACGCUGGGAAGUCUAGCCUCUGAAGCCAACAUCUACUGCCAAAUCCACCCAUCUUGACGUCACAACAGUGACGUCAC